UCCCCACUUGGGUUGCCAACCCUCCCAGUUUCGUCGGGAGUACCCUGGAAUCAGGCCCCAUCUUCCAGAGGCUUCUGAAGCCAAACUAGGAGAUUUUAG